rnacentral:rRNA from 1 species
UACGGGGGGGGCAAGCGUUGUUCGGAAUUACUGGGCGUAAAGGGCGCGUAGGCGGCCUUCUAAGUCGAACGUGAAAUCCCCGGGCUCAACCCGGGAACUGCGUCCGAUACUGGAAGGCUAGAAUCCGGGAGAGGGAUGCGGAAUUCCAGGUGUAGCGGUGAAAUGCGUAGAUAUCCGGAGGAACACCGGUGGCGAAGGCGGCUUCCUGGACCGAUUACUGACGCUGAGGCGCGAAAGCUAGGGGAGCAAACGGG